rnacentral:rRNA from 1 species
CCUACGGGCGGCAGCAGUGAGGAAUAUUGGUCAAUGGACGAGAGUCUGAACCAGCCAAGUAGCGUGAAGGAUGACUGCCCUAUGGGUUGUAAACUUCUUUUAUAUGGGAAUAAAACGUUCCACGUGUGGGAUUUUGUAUGUACCAUAUGAAUAAGGAUCGGCUAACUCCGUGCCAGCAGCCGCGGUAAUACGGAGGAUCCGAGCGUUAUCCGGAUUUAUUGGGUUUAAAGGGAGCGUAGGUGGAUUGUUAAGUCAGUUGUGAAAGUUUGCGGCUCAACCGUAAAAUUGCAGUUGAAACUGGCAGUCUUGAGUACAGUAGAGGUGGGCGGAAUUCGUGGUGUAGCGGUGAAAUGCUUAGAUAUCGCGAAGAACUCCGAUUGCGAAGGCAGUUCACUGGACUGCAACUGACACUGAGGCUCGAAAGUGUGGGUAUCAAACAGGAUUAGAUACCCCUGUAGUC